UUACGGUCACAUCACGUUGAAACACCGGUCCCCGUACUAUCGCCGAAGUUAAGCAAUCUCGUGCCUGGUCAGAAUUUGGAUAGGUGACCACUGAUGGGAAAAAACCAGGCGUUGUAA